rnacentral:rRNA from 1 species
GACGAACGCUGGCGGCGUGCUUAACACAUGCAAGUCGAACGGAAAGGCCCUGCUUUUGUGGGGUGCUCGAGUGGCGAACGGGUGAGUAACACGUGAGUAACAUGCCCCUGACUUUGGGAUAACUUCAGGAAACUGGGGCUAAUAUCGGAUAGGAGCUCCUGCUGCAUGGUGGGGGUUGGAAAGUUUUGGCGGUUGGGGAUGGACUCGCGGCUCAUCAGCUUGUUGGUGGGGUAGUGGCUUACCAAGGCUUCGACGGGUAGCCGGCCUGAGAGGGUGACCGGCCACAUUAGGACUGAGAUACGGCGCAGACUCCUACGGGAGGCAGCAGUGGAGAAUAUUGCACAAUGGGCGGAAGCCUGAUGCAGCGACUCCGCGUGCGGGAUGACGGCCUUCGGGUUGUGAACCGCUUUCUCCUGUGACGAAGCGUGAGUGACGGUAAUUAGUAAGGAAGCACCGGCUAACUACGUG